rnacentral:lncRNA from 1 species
ACAAUGGCUUUGCCAAAGACACUUUCCUGGUGGCACACCGUGGCUACAUGUUUCCCUCGGCCCUCACCAUCUUUCAUUCACGUAUUCAACUUAAGUAGGCAUUACAAGAGUAUCUCCACUACCAACUAAUCCUAAACUCACGCCACGCCCACCAUGCACAACUAGUCUAGUAACUAACUAAUGCAUGGGCUAACUCUACGGCCAUUUCUCACGGCCACUAACCAACUCCACGACUUGACCAAUCUUGCAUGCACUAACAAACUGGAGUCUAACUCAAACUACGUACACAACGAACACCUACAGACUCGGCACGGCCACGAACCGAUGCCCAGUUCCACCAGCACGCACGCUCGUCACGGCGCUGCGUCCCGCACGUCCCGCACGCACCCGACGCACCCGACCGCACCAGUGCGUCCCGCACGUCCCCCGCGCACCUGACGUGCCCGACGAGCCCGACUGCACCAGACGCCGUGGCUUAUUCCAACACACACCCCCUAAGCCACGGCCUCGCCGUCGCCGACGUAGCUCAUGUCGAUGUCGUCGCCACGACCGUGACCCAGCCCAUGGACCCGACGUGGCGCACCGACGCCGGUCGCACCGCCACGGACCCGACCUGGCGCACUGACGCCGGUCGCACCGUGCUCCGUCACGUCUCCGGCGACAUACGCCGAGCUCCUUCUCCACCGGCGACACACGCCUGGCGUUCCGGUGACAUACGCCGUCGACGCCCUCACGCUCAGACGCGAGCCUUCUUGGACGCCGCUUCAUGGCGUCGCACCGCACCGCUACGGCCUCCGCCGACGCGCCGCAUCUCCAUGUGACGCGCCACUGCGCAUCCAUGGUCGUCGCGCCGAGCCGCCGCGGCCUCUGCGCCACCACACAGGUCCUGCACGACCUCCUCGCCUCCGCGUCCGCCAUUGCUCGUCGUGCGCACGGCAUCACACUGCAUCACCGCGGACUCGCCGAGCACCGCAGCCGAUGCCUCCAUGUCCGCCGCACUCGCCGCGGACUCACCGUGCGCCACCUCCGCGUCCGCCAUGACAGCCGCAGCGCCGCGCACCUCCAUAGGCCGACACACCGACCGGAGCUUCACGCAGCCGCCGGCGAACGCCGUCACCACCGGCACGGCGAACCCCGCCCAAGACAACCAAGCUCUGAUACCAAUUGUUGGUGCCGCCUCCUCGCCGCAGCGCCCUUCUUCUUUUUCCUCAUAACUCUCUCUUAUCUCUUUCAUGGUUUGUCUCACACAACACAUGAACGCACACAUACCAGAGGAACACACACGUACACACUUCACCAAGGAAGAAGGAUCACAAUGGCUUUGCCAAAGACACUUUCCUGGUGGCACACCGUGGCUACAUGUUUCCCUCGGCCCUCACCAUCUUUCAUUCACGUACUCAACUUAAGUAGGCAUUACAAGAGUAUCUCCACUACCAACUAAUCCUAAACUCACGCCACGCCCACCAUGCACAACUAGUCUAGUAACUAACUAAUGCAUGGGCUAACUCUACGGCCAUUUAUCACGGCCACUAACGAACUCCACGACUUGACCAAUCUUGCAUGCACUAACAAACUGGUGUCUAACUCAAACUACGUACACAACGCACACCUACAGACGUGCCGUGCCUAGUUCGACCAGCACGCACACCCGUCACGGCGCUGCGUCCUGCACGUCCCGCACGCACCCGACGCACCCGACCGCACCAGUGCGUCCCGCACGUCCCGCGCGCACCUGACGCGUCCGACGAGCCCGACUCCACCAAACGCCGUGGCUUAUUCCAACACACACCCCCUAAGCCACGGCCUCGCCGUCGCCGAAGUAGCUCAUGUCGUUGUCGUCGCCACGACCGUGACCCAGCCCAUGGACCCGAUGUGGCGCACCGACGCCGGUCGCAUCGCCACGGACCCGACCUGGCGCACUGAUGCCGGUCGCACCGUGCUCCGUCACGUCUCUGGAGACAUACGCUGAGCAACUUCUCCACCGGCGACACACGCCUGGCGUUCCGGUGACAUACGCCGUCGAUGCCCUCACGCUCAGACAUGAGCCUUCUCGGACGCCGCUUCAUGGCGUCACACCGCACCGCUACGGCCUCCGCCGACGCGCCGCAUCUCCAUGCGACGCGCCACUGCGCCUCCACGGUCGUCGCGCCGAGCCGCCGCGGCCUCUGCGCCACCACGCAGGUCCUCCACGACCUCCUCGCCUCCGCGUCCGCCAUUGCUCGUCGUGCGCACGGCAUCACCGCGGACUCGCCGAGCACCGCCGCCGAUGCCUCCAUGUCCGCCGCACUCGCCGCGGACUCACCGUGCGCCACCUCCGCGUCCGCCAUGACAGCCGCAGCGCCGCGCACCUCCAUAGGCCGACACACGGACUGGAGCAUCACGCAGCCGCCGGCGAACGCCGUCACCACCGGCACGCCUCCCGCACGGCGAACCCCGCCCAAGACAACCAAGCUCUGAUACCAAUUGUUCGCGCCGCCUCCUCGCCGCAGCGCCCUUCUUCUUCUUCCUCAUAACUCUCUCUUAUCUCUUUCAUGGUUUGUCUCACACAACACAUGAACGCACACAUACCAGAGGAGAACACACGUACACACUUCACCAAGGAAGAAGGAUCACAAUGGCUUUGCCAAAGACACUUUCCUGGUGGCACACCGUGGCUACAUGUUUCCCUCGGCCCUCAUCAUCUUUCAUUCACGUACUCAACUUAAGUAGGCAUUACAAGAGUAUCUCCACUACCAACUAAUCCUAAACUCACGCCACGCCCACCAUGCACAACUAGUCUAGUAACUAACUAAUGCAUGGGCUAACUCUACGGCCAUUUCUCACGGCCACUAACCAACUCCACGACUUGACCAAUCUUGCAUGCACUAACGAACUGGAGUCUAACUCAAACUACGUACACAACGCACACCUACAGACUGGCCGUGCCCAGUUCCACCAGCACGCACACUCGUCACGGCGCUGCGUCCUGCACGUCCCGCACGCACCUGACCGCACUAGUGCGUCCCGCACGUCCCGCGCGCCCUGACGUGCCCGACGAGCCCGACUGCACCAGACGCCGUGGCUUAUUCCAACACACACCCCCUAAGCCACGGCCUCGCCGUCGCCGAAGUAGCUCAUGUCGAUGUCGUCGCCACGACCGUGACCCAGCCCAUGGACCCGAUGUGGCGCACCGACGCCGGUCGCACCGCCACGGACCCGACCUGGCGCACUGACGCCGGUCGCACCGUGCUCCGUCACGUCUCCGGCGACAUACACUGAGCUCCUUCUCCACCGGCGACACACGCCUGGCGUUCCGGUGACAUACGCCGUCGAUGCCCUCACGCUCAGACGCGAGCCUUCUCGGACGCCGCUUCAUGGCGUCGCACCGCUCCGCUACGGCCUCCGCCGACGCGCCGCAUCUCCAUGCGACGCGCCACUGCGCCUCCACGGUCGUCGCGCCGAGCCGCCGCGGCCUCUGCGCCACCACGCAGGUCCUCCACGACCUCCUCGCCUCCGCGUCCGCCAUUGCUCGUCGUGCGCACGGCAUCACACUGCAUCACCGCGGACUCGCCGAGCACCGCAGCCGAUGCCUCCAUGUCCGCCGCACUCGCCGCGGACUCACCGUGCGCCACCUUCGCGUCCGCCAUGACAGCCGCAGCGCCGCACACCUCCAUAGGCCGACACACAGACAGGAGCUUCACGCAGCCGCCGGCGAACGCCGUCACCACCGGCACGCCUCCCGCACGGCGAACCCCGCCCAAGACAACCAAGCUCUGAUACCAAUUGUUGGCGCCGCCUCCUCGCCGCAGCGCCCUUCUUCUUCUUCCUCAUAACUCUCUCUUAUCUCUUUCAUGGUUUGUCUCACACAACACAUGAACGCACACAUACCAGAGGAACACACACGUACACACUUCACCAAGGAAGAAGGAUCACAAUGGCUUUGCCAAAGACACUUCCCUGGUGGCACACCGUGGCUACAUGUUUCCCUCGGCCCUCACCAUCUUUCAUUCACGUACUCAACUUAAGUAGGCAUUACAAGAGUAUCUCCACUACCAACUAAUCCUAAACUCACGCCACGCCCACCAUGCACAACUAGUCUAGUAACUAACUAAUGCAUGGGCUAACUCUACGGCCAUUUCUCACGGCCACUAAUCAACUCCACGACUUGACCAAUCUUGCAUGCACUAACAAACUGGAGUCUAACUAAAACUACGUACACAACGCACACCUACAGACUCGGCACGGCCACGAACCGAUGCCCAGUUCCACCAGCAC